rnacentral:rRNA from 1 species
UGCAAGUUCGAGCGGUAGAGAGGAGCUUGCUCCUCUUGAGAGCGGCGGACGGGUGAGUAAUGCCUAGGAAUCUGCCUGGUAGUGGGGGGUAACGUUCGGAAACGGACGCUAAUACCGCAUACGUCCUACGGGAGAAAGCAGGGGACCUUCGGGCCUUGCGCUAUCAGAUGAGCCUAGGUCGGAUUAGCUAGUUGGUGAGGUAAUGGCUCACCAAGGCGACGAUCCGUAACUGGUCUGAGAGGAUGAUCAGUCACACUGGAACUGAGACACGGUCCAGACUCCUACGGGAGGCAGCAGUGGGGAAUAUUGGACAAUGGGCGAAAGCCUGAUCCAGCCAUGCCGCGUGUGUGAAGAAGGUCUUCGGAUUGUAAAGCACUUUAAGUUGGGAGGAAGGGCAGUAAAUUAAUACUUUGCUGUUUUGACGUUACCGACAGAAUAAGCACCGGCUAACUCUGUGCCAGCAGCCGCGGUAAU